AUGAAGACGUGGUCCUUGUACUCAGUUCUUCAGAGUGUGGCUGGUCGAUCGCCGCUUCAGAAGGUAGCCGCGGAGAGGCCCGGUGCGGAGAUGGCCGGUGAUGAGUGGAUGGACGCGUGGGCGAUCCGGCGACCGCGACCGAUCCGUCUGUUGUGGCCGCGGAAAAGAAGAGCAUGUCGCAGAACCCGACUCCGUUCCGCGGAAAAGAAGAACAUGUCGCGCUAUGUGUCGCGUGUCCAGAAUAUUCGUGAACUUCUUCAGGAAAGAGAUGUCUCGAUCGUCAAAAUCAGUCGCGAAGCCAACUCUGUGAGCCAUGGCUUAGCACAGUUAGGUAGAGAGCAAGUGAAAACUGCAGUUUGGCUAAGAAAUUUCCCUCAGGAAAUUGCCAUAGCUAUGAACACCGAUUGUAUCUCUAUUGCUAGCUAA
rnacentral:rRNA from 1 species